CUACCCUUGACAUGUCCGGAAUCCUGCAGAGAUGCGGGAGUGCCCGAAAGGGAAUCGGAACACAGGUGCUGCAUGGCUGUCGUCAGCUCGUGUCGUGAGAUGUUGGGUUAAGUCCCGCAACGAGCGCAACCCUUAUCAUUAGUUGCUACGCAAGGGCACUCUAAUGAGACUGCCGGUGGCAAACCGGAGGAAGGCGGGGAUGACGUCAAGUCCUCAUGGCCCUUAUGGGUAGGGCUUCACACGUCAUACAAUGGUCGGUACAGAGGGUUGCCAAGCCGCGAGGUGGAGCCAAUCCCAGAAAGCCGAUCGUAGUCCGGAUUGUUCUCUGCAACUCGAGAGCAUGAAGUCGGAAUCGCUAGUAAUCGCGGAUCAGCAUGUCGCGGUGAAUACGUUCCC
rnacentral:rRNA from 1 species